CAUCAUUUUUUGCAGUCUGUUUGAAUGCGCAUUGGAUAAAGAUCAACGGAGCGGGCAAGUCCUUUUUGCGUUGUACUGGAUGUGAGGAUGAGUAGGAGGGGUGAUAACCUCUGUCUCACGAACAUCCUCGUUGCGGGUUGAGGUCUUGUUGAUAUCAGCGGCCAAUGCGUCGUUAGCGUCCACGGUGGAAACCUGCUCUCGGGAUUUUUCGAUUCAAUUCCCAUUGCCGAAAGGCUAUUGUCCGUCUUCGUGAAUUUUUAAAAACCGCCUGGGACAACUGGGCGAUGUGUGUUUCCGCUUACAAUAAACAAUUCCUCCCAGACAGAGCAGAACUUCAGCGGACUAAGAAGAUAAAGGAAAGCAAGGUUGGGAGAGCUAAAAAAUAAAAAAAAAAAAAAAAAAAAAAGAAUAACAAGAAAGAAACCAUUAGCAAAGAUA
rnacentral:sRNA from 1 species